AUGUUGGAUGAAAUGAUUCUUCCCAGUUCGGCUUCUAGACUAGCUCUGGAGGUGAAAUCAAUGCUUUUCUGCCUCUGUUUCCUUUUGUCUGAGGCUGGAUGCUGUUGGGUCUAUCUUGACUUCGGAUGCUUUGGGAUGAAGAUAGACAAUCCAAGUUGUCCAGCCUCCUUUUGGCUUAUGUUGAACAUGGAAGUUGCUUCUGAAUACUUUUGGAACAACACUAGCAUUUGGUCUAGAUGCAAACUUGGGAUGUCCGGAAAAUUCCUGUUUAACCCUCUUUUUCCUUUCUCCCUCCCUCCCUUUCUUUGGAUCUCUGCAGCUGCAGGCCACGCUGUUCGAGCUUUUAUGCUGCUGGGGAUGAUUGCUGGUGCCGUCUCUUUCUUUGGUCUUUGCUCCUCAUUCUUUAAAUCUAAAGUCAGCUCCAUGUCCCUGAUCAAGACCUCAGCUAACGCCAGUAUCCUUGCAGCACUUUGUGUCAUGAUUGCCAUGGCCAUUUUCACAGGAGCUUCAUCUGCCCCAGGAUUUGUUUACGGCUGGUCUUUCAUCUUCGGAUGGGCUUCUUUUCCUCUGUUUCUGAUAACAGGUAAAUACAUGGAGAAGGGGGAUGUUUGACUGUACCCCUUUAUUCAUACAUUCACUAGAUGUAUUUUAAAAAAUAUUACAAUAUGUAUGUAUGUAUGUAUGUAUGUAUGUAUGUAUGUAUGUAUGUAUGUAUGUAUGUAUGUAUGUAUGUAUGUAUGUAUGUAUGUAUGUAUGUAUGUAUGUAUGUAUGUAUGUAUGUAUGUAUGUAUGUAUGUAUGUAUGUAUGUAUGUAUGUAUGUAUGUAUGUAUGUAUGUAUGUAUGUAUGUAUGUAUGCAUGUAUGUAUGCAUGUAUUUUUGUUUGUUUGUUUUUGUGAUUUAUAUAUUGGUCCAUUAGAGUAAGCACUACUCUGGACAGUUUACAGAUUAAAUCUUGAAACCCCACAAUGUAGGUUCAAACAAUAUAGUGAAACACAACUAGAAACUCUAGAAUCCAUUAAAAAAAUAGAGAAGAA
rnacentral:lncRNA from 1 species